rnacentral:rRNA from 1 species
AUUGAACGCUGGCGGCAGGCCUAACACAUGCAAGUCGAGCGGAUGAAGGGAGCUUGCUCCUGGAUUCAGCGGCGGACGGGUGAGUAAUGCCUAGGAAUCUGCCUGGUAGUGGGGGAUAACGUCCGGAAACGGGCGCUAAUACCGCAUACGUCCUGAGGGAGAAAGUGGGGGAUCUUCGGACCUCACGCUAUCAGAUGAGCCUAGGUCGGAUUAGCUAGUUGGUGGGGUAAAGGCCUACCAAGGCGACGAUCCGUAACUGGUCUGAGAGGAUGAUCAGUCACACUGGAACUGAGACACGGUCCAGACUCCUACGGGAGGCAGCAGUGGGGAAUAUUGGACAAUGGGCGAAAGCCUGAUCCAACCAUGCCGCGUGUGUGAAGAAGGUCUUCGGAUUGUAAAGCACUUUAAGUUGGGAGGAAGGGCAGUAAGUUAAUACCUUGCUGUUUUGACGUUACCAACAGAAUAAGCACCGGCUAACUUCGUG